UACGUAGGGUGCGAGCGUUGUCCGGAAUUAUUGGGCGUAAAGGGCUCGUAGGCGGUUUGUCGCGUCGGGAGUGAAAACCUUGGGCUUAACUCAGGGCUUGCUUUCGAUACGGGCAGACUAGAGGUAUGCAGGGGAGAACGGAAUUCCUGGUGUAGCGGUGAAAUGCGCAGAUAUCAGGAGGAACACCGGUGGCGAAGGCGGCUUCCUGGCCUGUUCUUGACGCUGAGGCGCGAAAGCUAGGGGAGCAAACGGG
rnacentral:rRNA from 1 species